GACGAACGCUGGCGGCGUGCUUAACACAUGCAAGUCGAACGGAAAGGCCCUGCUUUUGUGGGGUGCUCGAGUGGCGAACGGGUGAGUAACACGUGAGUAACCUGCCCUUGACUUUGGGAUAACUUCAGGAAACUGGGGCUAAUACCGGGUAGGAGCUCCUGCUGCAUGGUGGGGGUUGGAAAGUUUCGGCGGUUGGGGAUGGACUCGCGGCUUAUCAGCUUGUUGGUGGGGUAGUGGCUUACCAAGGCUUUGACGGGUAGCCGGCCUGAGAGGGUGACCGGCCACAUUGGGACUGAGAUACGGCCCAGACUCCUACGGGAGGCAGCAGUGGGGAAUAUUGCACAAUGGGCGGAAGCCUGAUGCAGCAACGCCGCGUGCGGGAUGACGGCCUUCGGGUUGUAAACCGCUUUCGCCUGUGACGAAGCGUGAGUGACGGUAAUGGGCAAAGAAGCACCGGCUAACUACGUG
rnacentral:rRNA from 1 species